rnacentral:misc_RNA from 1 species
GAAAAACAAAAAUAAUAGUUUGAUACAUACAUAUAUAACUGGGAAAUAUAUAAACAAAAAUAAUUAAGAAAGAAAAUUAAGUCAAUAUUUUAAAAUCAAUAUUAAUUUGAUGCUUAAACUUAGUCUUAAAAGUAGACUUGAAUCACUUAUUAUUAAGGAGGAUAAUAAUGGAGAUGUUUUCUAAAAGCUUAAUCAAACUGUGGAAGGAAGGGAAGGUGCGAGCAUUUGUCUUACUCAGCCCUAUGCUCCAUGUAAUUCUGAUCCUUCUGGGCAACCGUAGAAAGCAUACCUCAAGCUCUUGGAUUAGAAUUACUUUGUGGUGUGCUUACUUAGCAGCAGACUAUGUUGCCACCGUUGCACUGGGCGCCAUCAUAAGCAAUUUCGCAGAUGUCUUUGGGAAUAAUGGUUCUGCUUCUUUUGACAACAGCAUUGAGCUAACUGCAUUUUGGGCUCCAUUUCUGCUGUUGCACUUGGGCGGACCAGACACUAUCACGGCCUAUUCAUUGGAGGACAAUGAGUAGUGGACAAGGCAGCUGUUUGGACUUGUUAUCCAGACUGAGAGUUGCGUUUUACAUUCUCAUCAUGUCGUGGACAGGCUCUCUUGUCUCGAUUCUUUCCUUGUUGAUAUUUUUUCAGGGCUCAUCAUGUAUGGAGAAAGGAUUUCAAAUAAAAGUUACGAAUUUCACACACGCAAAAAUCCCUUUGAACGCCUUCCCAAUUGAAUUAAAAACACCAAAAUUUCAAUCAAUUUAUAAGAAUUGAUUAUAAAAAAUAUCAAGAAGGAGAGUACAUAUCAUCAUGUUUAGACUUUUACGUUUCAAUCGCAGCAACUAAAAGAAAGAAAACUGAAACAAACCUGCAUAUUGAAUGCAACCAUUUGAGCGCCAUGCAUCGAAGCAUUUAGUGGCUUGUAGUUGGAGGAGUUAAACCAAGUGCGUUUAGGAUACACCCGGAAGACAUUUUUUUGAACCUCUAGACAUCUAGCAGCACUUUCACCACUUGAGUCAAUUGAAAGAGCUCUUUGGUGUAACUCUCUAGCAGUGGAUACAGUUCCCUUUUUCCAUUCUAUCCAUCCCGAAGCCUAAUAGUUUGGAAUUUCAAUCCGUCAAAUCAACUUUUAUAUUGAAUCGGCAAACAAAAGAAAUCCUGGGCAAGUUGCAGUGCUUGGGCUGCCAUCUCCAUUAACAAACGUUGGAAUGUUACCUUCAUCAUCACAAAACCAACAUCUGAACUAUGUACCCAAGUUUUAUACAAUUUUAGCAAUCUCACAAACUAAUAAUAAAAACAUAAUUAAAAAAAAAAGGCAAAGCCAGAACAAAACCAUAUUCAUAUUGAGAGCAUUGAGGGCGGAAGGGCCGUUGAGAAUAGCGAUUCUCGAAUAAGUUUUGCCUUCAACUAAUACCUUUUCAAGCAAGACAGUAGAAGGAUGAGAUUAUUCAAAAAUUUCACACAGCACAAAUCAAUUUGAAGUUACUGGUGUGAUCACUAUACAACUGGCUAAAUUCCAAGCACAAUGCAGACCAAAUGCAAUGCAUUCAUGGUUUUUGCUUCUUGCUGCAGGGUGAUUUCAUAUGUAUGGUCACAAAAGGUCUUGCAUAAACGAUUCCAGUGAUCUGCAAUAAUAUACAAGAAAAGCAUACCCAACCAAAUCCAUCUGAUAAUCUCAGAAGCUAAAAGAAUGGAAUGUCACAGCCACUUAUGAACUAAAAUAGGCACUGCCAGUACUAUCUUCCCAACAUCCUCAUCAGCUUGCAUUAUCUAUUUUAUUCGAGCCUCACCAUUUGGUCCUCAUCACAUCAUUUCCUCCAAAUAACGUUUGGCAACCAAACUGGGGACCAGCCUGUCCCAAUGCUGCAUAGGUAAUAUGAUCUGGCGAAAUGCCCUUCUCUUUCAUUUCAUCAAACAGAUCUUGGGCUUUAUCAUUGCACCCAAGUCUUUGAUACCCAGAAAUGAGAGCAGUAUAGGUCAGUCGAUCAGGUGUCACAUUGUUUCUCUUCAUUUCACCCAUCAACAAGUUGGCCAUAUCAAUGCGCUUUAACUUGCAAAAUCCACCAAUUAAACAGGUAUAAGUAACAACAUUCGGAGACUGGCCCCCCUGCAACAUCUCCUUAUACAAUGCCCAAGCCCUUUUCAUAUUUUCAGCUCUACAAAACCCAUCAAUAAUACACGAAUAAGUAAUCUUAUCUGGAAUCACACCCUUUUCAGUCAUCUCCUUAAACAAAUUAUAAGCUUCGUGCAUAUUGUUCCUUUGGGAGAACAUUUUGAUGAGAAUUGUAUAUGUGACCACGCUUGGUAAGAUACCACCUUUUACCAUUUUUGCAUAAAAUAGCAAGGCCUUUGUUGGAUUUGAUUGUUUAGCAAAUCCAUCUAUUAUGGUACUAUAAUGAACAACACCUGGAAAAACAUUGUUCUUAAUCAUUAUUGGAAGAACUUCCCAUGCUUUAUCAGAUUUCUUUCCCUUGCACAGCCACUUAAUGACUACAUUAUAUGUGUACGAAUCAGGCAUAAUGCCAAAGUUUUGCAUUUCAUUUAUGAAUUUCAAAGCUUCCAUGAAGUGUCCUCCUCUGAAAUAUUCGUCAGCAAUAACAUUGCAAGUGAUAGUAGUUGGUGGGACUCCAAACUGUAGCAUUAUACUUAAAACUUCCAACGCUUUAUCUAAAAGCCCCCUUUUGCAGAACCCAUAAAUCAGCCUACCAAAACUGAAUGUGUUAGGAACCAAACCAUUCCUUGUCAUCUCACACACAACUUCACUGGCAGAUUCCAUGUCACCUUGCAAUACAAAACCAUCCAUUAAUAUGUUGUAAGAAGUAACAUCAUAUUUGUAUCCUAAAGCACCAAGAUUACGGAACAUAUCUAGACAAACAUAAAUCAGUCCAUGCUUACAAAGACCACUAAAGAGAGAACUAUAGGUAACUAGGGAUGGUUUUAGUUUCACAUUAUAAUGAACCAUUUCUUCUAUCAAAUUGAGAGCUUUUUCUAUAUCCCCAUUCUUGCAAAACCCAUCAAUCAAAAUGUUGUAGCUAUAAACAUCUGGAGAUGGUCCAUGGUUCCUCAUAUAUUGCAAAAGCUUCAGAGCUUCAUAUGGUUCACCUUUUUGGCAAAACCCAUGAAUGAUCGCAUUAUAACUAUAACUGUUGAGAUGCUGAUUUCUAAUUCUCAAAUCCUGGAUAAAUCCCAAAGCAAACUCAACAUAACCAGCUCCACAAAGACCAUGUGUAUAUGCACCAUAAGUUACAAUUGUAGGGCCUAUCCCUUUCAUUUCCAUUUCCUCUAGAAAUCCAGUUGCUUGCACAAUAUCUAUAUUCUGCCCAAUAUGUCCUUUACAAUAAUAAUUCAUCAUAAUAGUAUAGGUACAAACAUUAGGUGAUGGCCCAGAAUCCUUCAACUCUUUAAACAAUAUUCUAGCAAACUCCAAUUGAUUGGCUUCCAAAGAACACUUGAGCAAGAAAUUACAAGAUAAAAUGUUUGGUUCGGACCCAAAUUUUUUAGCCUGCAAAAACACAUCUAACGCAUUCUCAAGCAUCUUAUUCUCUGCAAAAACUUUUAUGAGUAUAUUGAUUACAAUAGCUGAUAUUGCCUUAUGCGAAUGCUGUAGUGAACUUAACAAUGUUGAAUGCGACUCUGAAACGUCCAAAUCAAGUUUCUUAUAGUAGGAAAUUAUAUCUCUAAGCAAGAAUUGUACUUCAAUCUGCAAGCCAGCCAAUGCAAAAGCAUGAACAAUGAUUCUAAAGGCAUUAAUUGAAUGAGGAAAACCAUGGCAGCUAACUGCAUUAGAGAAGCUUGUGUCCUUUGUAAGUUCCCAAUUCAAGGUCUUAAAAACCGUUACAACAAAUGGAAACAAUCCACGCUUUUUUGGAUUAAUGGGUUUGCUUGCUUUCCCAAAUAUAUCACUUUCACUCAUGGGAAUAUAAUUCAACAUAUCGUCUUCUAACAAUAAUGCAGAGACAGCUGAAUAAUGAACUUUAAAAAGAGACUUUUCACGCGAAAUAAUCAAGCCAAGUAAAGUCGACUUCAAUGAGUAUGUUUUUGAAUAAGCGCAAAUACCCAUCAAUAUCCAGAUUGCGCUCACGCGAGUUAACAACUAGAAACUGCAUAAUCUCAAAAGUUUUGCCACAAAUGAAGUUUCUAUAAGCUAAACCUGAUAAAAAGACAUGCUUGAAUGUCAAUUAAAAAGGGGAAAAAAAGGAGAGACUACUCUAGCUUCUAUAUGACAGAAAAACAUAUCUACGAACAGAACAACCAGCUUAAUUUAAAGAUAUUACCUCAGUUUAUAGGCAUUUGACUUGGGAAAAUUAUUGAAUUCCUUCAAGGCGCUGAAAUUCUAAAAGGAAACGAUUUUCUAAAUAGGAAGCGAGGGAGAAAGGUGGGCAACUAUAUAGCUCCUUCAGUUAAAACUAAACAAAGACGGUGAUGUCAUCAAAGAAGUGAACAAAAACGACGGAAUCGGCGACAGCGAGGGAGAAACGGCAAUGGUGAACUAUAACGACGGUGCUGGCUUCAAAAUAGUGUGGCGGCUGAACAAGCUUCUUCUUUUUUUUU